rnacentral:rRNA from 1 species
UACCAGCACCCCGAGUGGUCGGGACGUUUAUUGGGCCUAAAGCAUCCGUAGCCGGUUCUACAAGUCUUCCGUUAAAUCCACCUGCUUAACAGAUGGGCUGCGGAAGAUACUAUGGAGCUAGGAGGCGGGAGAGGCAAGCGGUACUCGAUGGGUAGGGGUAAAAUCCGUUGAUCCAUUGAAGACCACCAGUGGCGAAGGCGGCCUGCUGGGCAGUUGCUGACACUGAGGCGCGACAGCGUGGGGAGCAAACAGG